UCAAACUUGGUCAUUUAGAGGAAGUAAAAGUCGUAACAAGGUUUCCGUAGGUGAACCUGCGGAAGGAUCAUUAGCGAAGCUCGGAACGCGUGUUCGGUACUGCAGCUGCCCAGCGAUGGGAUGUGCUCGUCUGGAUGCGUGUCCCUUCUCUAUUCCACCCCACUGUGAACCAAGCGUGUGAGCCGAAGAGAGAUCGGAGGCUUGCACGCAACACUUAACAUACCCCAAUGAAGUAUCAGAAUGUACCUUGCGUUAACUCGCACAAAUACAACUUUCAACAACGGAUCUCUUGGCUCUCGCAUCGAUGAAGAACGCAGC
rnacentral:misc_RNA from 1 species